rnacentral:rRNA from 1 species
AAGGAUGAAGGCCUUCUGGGUUGUAACUUCUUUUACCUGGGAAGAAACCUACUUUUUCUUAAGAGUGUUGACGGUACCAGAGGAAUAAGCACCGGCUAACUCCGUGC